UGGGGAAUCGUCCAACGGCAGGACACGACACUCUGGAUGUCGGUAUCUUGGUUCGAAUCCAGGUUCCCCAG
rnacentral:tRNA from 1 species